UUAACCCCCAAACCCCCAAAACUCCUCCUAGCCCUAAUUUUUCGUCUAUUUCGUUCCUGCUGGGCUGGCUGCUGCCUCUCGACUCUCUCCCUUCUCGACUUCGCCGCCGGCGCCGCUGCCCCGCGCCGGCCCGUCGCCGCCGCUGAGAGUACGCUGCUGUGAAAGACGUUGCUGACUGCUGCGCGGCUGCGCCUGAGAGUACGCUGCAUCGCGCCCGCCCGUCUCCGCUGCCACCCCCUCGACGCUUUCUUCCUUCGCGCGGUCGACGUUGUAUCUGAAGCUUUUGCACAGUUAGGGAGCUUGAACUUCUUUGACUAUCUGGGGAAAAGAAGAAAGGUAUCUAUAAUGGCAUCACCUUUACCAUUUUCUGUUUGCUAUGUUAAGUUAUUGAAUGGUAUUAGUCUCCCCAAUAAAACUUAGUACUACUAUUACUAUAUUAGUGGUUCUUCAUCUGCAAAACAAUGUAAAUUUGUAUUUUUGGCUACGAUCAUGAAUUUCUUUGAUUGAUGGAGUUACUGUAGGAUUAUGUUGGACUUUUCCUUUCUUUUAUAGUCCAUUGAGCUUUCUGAAUUUUUUUUCUUGAGACGUUAACAAUGGAGACGAUGAGGUCCCAGCUGUGUGUUAGUACGGUGUUGGAGAUGUUAAUGGUUAGUGCUAUGUGGAGUAUAUAUAUAUAUUGGAGAUGUUAGUGUGUUUGGUGUUGAAUACUCAUCUUGGUUUUCUUACUUAUAUGGUCAGAAUUUCAUUGAUUAGUGGUGAAAAAUGAAGGUUUAAUUUGGCCCUUUAUGAGACGUUGAUAAUAAUGGAUGCUUUUGCUGGUUGA
rnacentral:lncRNA from 1 species